UGGGGAUCACAAUUCAACAUGAGAUUUGGGUGGGAACACAGAGCCAAACUAUAUCAGCAAGUUGCUUAACCUCUCUGAGCUCCAGUUUCCUGCACUGUAAAAUGGGGAAUCAUAAUAUCCAUCAAUCUCCUUAUAAGAUUGGAAAGAUAAAGAAACUAUAUGUAAAAUUCUUAGCACAAUGUUCGAUCCAUGUGCAUGCUCAAUAAGUGGUUAUUCCUCAAAUUAGUUUCAUUUGUAUUGGGAUAAAUCAUUGUUCCCUCCCAUAGGUACAUUUUCUAUUUAACCAGUUGCCAGUUCUCAGAAUCUUCUCCUGCCCCCCACACCACACAGGCUGCAGAUUGUAGGGAUAGAUGACAGAGGAUGGGAGGCUCAUCUCACUCUCUAUUUCAAUACGUUCUACUUCAACAGCAGGGCUUGUUUUUAUUACCUUAUUGAGUUCACAUGGGUAGCUUUUGGCAGCAGCAAUUAUUCUCCUUAUUACUCUACAGAUGAAGAAAUAGAUUUGGCUCUGAUAUGUUGGAUUUUCUCAAGCAAGUCCCAUAUCGAAAAUAAAAGCGUUUAAUUCUAAUCAGAGACAGCCGGGAAAAAAAGAAAAAAAAAAAAAACCUCCUGGCUUCCUGCCUCUUGAAAGCCUCUCCUUCAAAAUGUUUUGAGGACCUGCAAUGUGCCAGGAAUAUUACAGCAAAUGAGUCUUCUUUGGUGGUCCAGCCACACCAGCCCUUAUACUUCACAGCGUGAGUGAUAUAAACAUGAAGGCCAGGUGCGGCGGCUUACACCCGUAAUCCCAGCACUUUGGGAAGAGUGAAGUGGAGGAAGAGGUACAUUCAACUACAGAGGAGGAAACUGAGGCCCAGAGGGGAAAAGUGACUUGAUUGACAAAAAUUGGAUUCUGGUCUUUGUUCUGCCAAAGCCACUAAAUCUGUGUUGCUGAGUCUGCUGUUUGCAUGCAGGAAUGUGAAGGACUGCUCAAGUUGGAGAUACAAAUUGAAGCCAGCCCCAGUUCAAAACUGUUACAAAUGGAGUCUGUAGGCAUGAGGGGCUGACUAUAUAACUCAGAGUUCUCCAGUACUUUACUUUAAUAAAGAACACAAUCUUUAUUAAAGGAUAAGUAAUAAAAAUGUGUUGAUGUGCAACUUAUGGAUCUAUUAUUAAAACUCAACAGUCAUUGCAGCAAUGUUUAGAACUUAAGCAAACAAAAGUUUUGUGAGGGGGCAAUUUUAUCAAUGACAUUGUUUAGAAAUGUUGGUAGAUGGUGAUCAUAAAAAGCAGAUCAAUGUUUUAUUUCACUUGGGUUUUUAAAAAUUAUUUUUAAAAAAUU
rnacentral:lncRNA from 10 species